rnacentral:rRNA from 1 species
AGUGAACGCUGGCGGCAGGCCUAAUACAUGCAAGUCGAACGGCAGCACAGCAGAGCUUGCUCUGUGGGUGGCGAGUGGCGGACGGGUGAGGAAUACAUGGGAAUCUGCCCAGUCGUGGGGGAUAACGUAUGGAAACGUACGCUAAUACCGCAUGCGCCCUACGGGGGAAAGCCGGGGACCUUCGGGCCUGGCGCGAUUGGAUGAGCCCAUGUUCGAUUAGCUAGUUGGCGGGGUAAAAGCCCACCAAGGCGACGAUCGAUAGCUGGUCUGAGAGGAUGAUCAGCCACACUGGAACUGAGACACGGUCCAGACUCCUACGGGAGGCAGCAGUAGGGAAUAUUGGACAAUGGGCGCAAGCCUGAUCCAGCCAUGCCGCGUGAGUGAAGAAGGCCCUCGGGUUUAAAGCUCUUUUGUUGGGGAAGAAAGCAUCCGGCUAAUACCCAGGUGUCCUGACGGUACCCAAAGAUAAGCACCGGCUAA